CCUACGGGUGGCUGCAGUGGGGAAUAUUGCACAAUGGGGGGAACCCUGAUGCAGCGACGCCGCGUGAGUGAAGAAGGAUUUCGGUAUGUAAAGCUCUAUCAGCAGGGAAGAAAAUGACGGUACCUGACUAAGAAGCCCCGGCUAACUACGUGCCAGCAGCCGCGGUAAUACGUAGGGGGCAAGCGGUAUCAGGAUUUACUGGGUGUAAAGGGAGCGUAGACGGUUUUGUAAGUCUGAAGUGAAAGCCCAAGGCUCAACCAUGGGACUGCUUUGGAAACUGUAAGACUGGAGUGCAGGAGAGGUAAGCGGAAUUCGUGGUGUAGCGGUGAAAUGCGUAGAUAUAUGGAAGAACACCAGUGGCGAAAGCGGCUCACUGGUGCGUAACUGACGCUGAGGUACGAAAGCGUGGGUAGCAAACAGGAUUAGAUACCCCGGUAGUC
rnacentral:rRNA from 1 species